rnacentral:rRNA from 1 species
UACGUAGGGUGCGAGCGUUGCCCGGAUUUAUUGGGCGUAAAGGGCGCGUAGGCGGCCUGGCGCGUCGGCUGUGAAAUCUCCCGGCUCAACUGGGAGGGGACGGCCGAUACGGCUGGGCUUGAGCGAGGUAGGGGAGAGUGGAAUUCCCGGUGUAGUGGUGGAAUGCGCAGAUAUCAGGAGGAACACCGGUGGCGAAGGCGGGUCUCUGGGCCUUACCUGACGCUCAGGUGCGAAAGCUAGGGGAGCGAACAGG